CAAUAGCGUAUAUUAAAGUUGUUGCGGUUAAAAAGCUCGUAGUUGGAUUUCUGUUGGGAACGACCGGUCCGCCCAUUGGGUGUGUAUCUGGCUUGUUCUCGGCAUCUUCUUGGUGAACGUUGCUGCACUUGACUGUGUGGAGCGCUACCCAGGACUUUUACUUUGAGGAAAUUAGAGUGUUCAAAGCAGGCUUUCGCUUGAAUACAUUAGCAUGGAAUAAUAAGAUAGGACUUUGGUGCUAUUUUGUUGGUUGAGCCUAAAGUAAUGAUUAAUAGGGAUAGUUGGGGGCACCUGUAUUGCGUUGUCAGAGGUGAAAUUCUUGGAUUUACGCAAGACAAACAGCUGCGAAAGCGUCUGCCAAGGAUGUUUNCAUUAA
rnacentral:rRNA from 1 species